rnacentral:rRNA from 1 species
AUUGAACGCUGGCGGCAGGCCUAACACAUGCAAGUCGAGCGGAUGAAGGGAGCUUGCUCCUGGAUUCAGCGGCGGACGGGUGAGUAAUGCCUAGGAGUCUGCCUGGUAGUGGGGGAUAACGUCCGGAAACGGGCGCUAAUACCGCAUACGUCCUGAGGGAGAAAGUGGGGGAUCUUCGGACCUCACGCUAUCAGAUGAGCCUAGGUCGGAUUAGCUAGUUGGUGGGGUAAAGGCCUACCAAGGCGACGAUCCGUAACUGGUCUGAGAGGAUGAUCAGUCACACUGGAACUGAGACACGGUCCAGACUCCUACGGGAGGCAGCAGUGGGGAAUAUUGGACAAUGGGCGAAAGCCUGAUCCAGCCAUGCCGCGUGUGUGAAGAAGGUCUUCGGAUUGUAAAGCACUUUAAGUUGGGAGGAAGGGCAGUAAGUUAAUACCUUGCUGUUUUGACGGUACCAACAGAAUAAGCACCGGCUAACUUCGUG